rnacentral:rRNA from 1 species
UAAUACGUAGGUGGCAAGCGUUGUCCGGAUUUAUUGGGCGUACAGGGCGCGCAGGCGGUUCGUUUAGUCCGAGGUGAAAUCUCCUGGCUCAACUGGGAGAGGUCUUCGGAUACUGGCGGGCUUGAGGAGAGCAGAGGUGAGUGGAAUGCUGGGUGUAGUGGUGAAAUGCGUAGAUAUCCAGCGGAACACCAGUGGCGAAGGCGGCUCACUGGGCUCCACCUGACGCUGAGGCGCGAAAGCGUGGGGAGCGAACCGGAUUAGAUACCCGGGUAGUCCACGCCGUAAACGAUGGACACUAGGUGUGGGGGGUAUUGACCCCCUCCGUGCCGUAGCUAACGCAGUAAGUGUCCCGCCUAGGGAGUACGGCCGCAAGGCUA